ACCGGCUCCUAUCGAAGCCGUUCAUGCUCUUCUGUAGCAGUGAACGGUCAACAGGCAGCCCAGAGGAUGACUUUCACCGACGGUCGCUGUUCAGUUUAAAUGAAUAAUUGUUACAGCAACAUUAAGGGGAAGGACAUUU